rnacentral:rRNA from 1 species
GAUGAACGCUGGCGGCGUGCCUAAUACAUGCAAGUCGAGCGAACGGACGAGAAGCUUGCUUCUCUGAUGUUAGCGGCGGACGGGUGAGUAACACGUGGAUAACCUACCUAUAAGACUGGGAUAACUUCGGGAAACCGGAGCUAAUACCGGAUAAUAUUUUGAACCGCAUGGUUCAAAAGUGAAAGACGGUCUUGCUGUCACUUAUAGAUGGAUCCGCGCUGCAUUAGCUAGUUGGUAAGGUAACGGCUUACCAAGGCAACGAUGCAUAGCCGACCUGAGAGGGUGAUCGGCCACACUGGAACUGAGACACGGUCCAGACUCCUACGGGAGGCAGCAGUAGGGAAUCUUCCGCAAUGGGCGAAAGCCUGACGGAGCAACGCCGCGUGAGUGAUGAAGGUCUUCGGAUCGUAAAACUCCGUCAUUAGGGAAGAACAUAUGUGUAAGUAACUGUGCACAUCUUGACGGUACCUAAUCAGAAAGCCACGGCUAACUACGUG